CCUACGGGAGGCAGCAGUGGGGAAUAUUGCGCAAUGGGCGAAAGCCUGACGCAGCGACGCCGCGUGAGGGAUGAAGGUCUUCGGAUCGUAAACCUCUGUCAGCAGGGAAGUACGGUCACUGUGCUAAUCAGCAGUGAAUUGACGGUACCUGCAAAGGAAGCACCGGCUAACUCCGUGCCAGCAGCCGCGGUAAUACGGAGGGUGCGAGCGUUAAUCGGAUUUACUGGGCGUAAAGCGCUCGUAGACGGUAUGUCAAGUCAAGGGUGAAAUCCCGGCGCUCAACGUGGGAACUGCCUUUGAUACUGGCAGACUGGAGUGUGUGAGAGGAUAGUGGAAUUCCAGGUGUAGGAGUGAAAUCCGUAGAUAUCUGGAGGAACAUCAGUGGCGAAGGCGACUAUCUGGCACAUAACUGACGCUGAGGAGCGAAAGCGUGGGUAGCAAACAGGAUUAGAUACCCUGGUAGUC
rnacentral:rRNA from 1 species